rnacentral:piRNA from 1 species
UGAGCUUGUCGCGCCGAAGAUUAUGGAUC